rnacentral:RNase_P_RNA from 1 species
UUUAGGCAAACGCUGCAAUUUAUUGUAGAGGAAAGUCCAUGCUCACAAAAGCUGAGAUGCUUUUAGUGUUUGUGCUAAGGAAAAAAAUAACCUUAGGGGGAGAAAUCCUACGGCUUCGAAAGAACCUAAGUUUUUGAAUAUGGUUUUAGUAGAUGUAAAAGUGCCAUAGAGACGAUACAUAUUAGAAAUAAUAUGAGUGGAACGUGGUAAACCCCACAAGUGAGAAACCCAAAUUAUGGUAGGGGAGCUUUGACGAGGAAAAUGAACUUAAGUCAAGGAUCGAAAGAUAGAUAAAUGUUUGCCACCUAGUGAUAGGUACAGAACAUGGCUUAUU